AUGCCUAACACAUGCAAGUCGGACGCUCAUGAGGGUUUCGGCCCUUGUGGGAGUGGCGGACGGGUGAGUAGCGCGUGGGAACCUGCCCUCUUGUGGGGGAUAACCGAGGGAAACUUCGGCUAAUACCGCAUGCGCCCCUGGGGGAGACCUCGGGGGGAAAGAUUUAUCGCAGGAGGAGGGGCCCGCGUCGGAUUAGGUAGUUGGUGGGGUAACGGCCUACCAAGCCUGUGAUCCGUAGCUGGUCUGAGAGGAUGAUCAGCCACACUGGGACUGAGACACGGCCCAG
rnacentral:rRNA from 1 species